AAGGAGGACGCGGCCGAAGGCAGGACUGGUAAUUAGGGUGAAGUCGUAACAAGGUAGCCGUAUCGGAAGGUGCGGCUGGAUCACCUCCUUUCUAAGGA
rnacentral:rRNA from 1 species